rnacentral:lncRNA from 1 species
GAGGAUGCUUUACUAGUCAAGUCUUUGUAUGAGACUUUGGCACUAGCUGGAUCCUUGAUUGUAGCUCCUGAGAGACUCUGCAGUGGAGAACUCAGCUAAGCCAUGCCCAGACUCCUGGCCACAGAAACUCUGAGAUAAUAAAUGUGUAUUGUUUUAAGCCACUAAGUUGGUGGUUAUUUGUUACACAGCAAUGCACAACUAACACACUGCUAUUUCCUCAAUUCCUUGAACAGUGCCUGGCUCAUAGUAGGUAGGUAAUAAAUACAAGUUGCACAAAUCAAUAAAUGAAAUUAAGUCCUGUUCUUCUGCUCUUUUUUUCCCCCUCUAAUGAGAUGAGCAUUCACCAGGGAACAAAAAGCCUAGCAUCCUUUUACAAUACCUCACAGACAAAAACCACCGCAUUUUUAUACGUGAUUAUCAUGGUAAUGCUAAUAUUAAUCAUUGAUAAAAUUGCCUUAUUGUGUUUCAUUUAUUAUUUCUUCAGAUGGAUGUAUUGGUUUCCAAGGGCUACCGUAACAAAUCACCACAAACUUGGUGGCGUCAAACAACAGAAUGAGACCCCCUGCAGGGGACAGCUACAAGGACAUUAUUUCCCUGAUCAUCAGCCUGGAGCUCUUUUCCAGAGAGCUGAUGUGUCUGUAUGAGAUUUGUACAUGAUUUCUCAUAAGGUUCUUUUCUUGAUCUUCAAGCAGGAAUUACAAGACAGACAUAGUAAGCUUGCUGACACACCUCUUAUUCUCUCUGGAACUGACCAUAAGCCAGAAUACAUUUGAUUAUCUGAUUUAGUGGAGAACAUAGUAAAAAGAAUAAAAUGGAUGAUAUAAAAAUUGCACCAGCAUAUACUUAACUAAGGUAGCUAUAUCCUUUUCAAUUUCUUUAUACAUAA